UCUGCACAGGAAGAUUAUGUUACAGGACAUUAACGAUACAACAGAAUGUUGUUGUUCUAUUUUUAGACACAUCUCGCGAUCGACUGGGAGGGCACCCCUGCUAUAGAGAAAUAAAAUGUACAGGUUCAAUUAAUAGUUUUCUGGACGGUGCAAUUUCCUACCUUCAGCACGGUCUUGCCGACUGUUCGUUUGAAGGCCUCCUUCACUGUGCGGUACUCUGCAUAGGAAGGAAGGAGUUCAACCGUCUUCAAAGCUUCACCGGCAGCCAUGUUGUCCCAGUACAGAGGGAGGGUGAAGUCUGAGAGAUGUUGGAGGACAAAUUGGAGAAAAGGAAACCAUCCCAAUCUAACUGCAAGGGUAUAAAAGGGUGUUCAGAAAACAGGGAUCUUCACUCAGAGGAGACACAGCACAGAGGAGAGGAAAUCAUUGCAACAUCUCCUUUCACUACCAUUCGAGGAUGAAUUAUGCAAUCCAGUGCAUCGUUUUGCUGGCAUGCAUUAUCACUUGCACUUCACUCCAUAUUUUGAAUUGCCGGUGUAUAAAAACCAGCUCGUUCGUAAAUAAGUCCCUCAUUGCUAAUAUCAAAGACCUCCCGCCUCGUCCCUACUGCAACAAGAGAGAAGUCAUUGUUUUCCUGAAAGAUAAGCGCCCAGUCUGUCUUGACCCUGAAGGAGCAUUCACCCAAGCAGUCUUGCGAACAAUUCAAAAGCAGAAAGUGAUACAGGCCUAUAAGAUUAACAAAACAACUGGACCACCAGCCCAAAAACAACCACAGCAUCAACCACAGCAUCAGCAUCCGUAGUGCCAACAUGGUCAUAAUGCAAAUGUGCUUUUCAUCAAUGCAAUUCAACCAGUGUGUAAGAAGAUCUGCACGGCACACCUUCUGAAUAUCCUCUCAGGCAUGAUGUCACUUAUUUGUAUCCAGAUAUGGUCAAAUACUUGUCAUUUUGUUGUAUGCAUAUCACCGGAUGCCACUUUUCUGUUAGUUGUUUUUUCCAAACCUUUAAUACAGUCUUUCAAUGUGUACACACCAGAGCUGAGUAUCAUGGCGGCUUGACAUCACACUGUGAAGUUUAGUAAUGACGUUUUAUUAAUAAUGGUAAAUGUGAAUUGUUUUUCUUUGUGGUUCAUGUAAGGCCAUUGUUUCUUAUGAAAUGUGAAGGUCACUGUAUGUUGUAUAAUACAAUAAUAAUGUACACUACUGACACGUGUCAUGUGAUGAAAAGCUCUUAAUCUUCAAUAAAUAAUACAAAUGUGAAAUAUUGG